rnacentral:rRNA from 1 species
AACGAACGCUGGCGGCAUGCCUAACACAUGCAAGUCGAACGAGACCUUCGGGUCUAGUGGCGCACGGGUGCGUAACGCGUGGGAACCUGCACUUAGGUUCGGAAUAACUCCCCGAAAGGGGUGCUAAUACCGGAUAAUGUCUUCGGACCAAAGAUUUAUCGCCUUUGGAUGGGCCCGCGUUGGAUUAGCUAGUUGGUAGGGUAAAAGCCUACCAAGGCGACGAUCCAUAGCUGGUCUGUGAGGAUGAUCAGCCACACUUGGACUGAGACACGGCCCAGACUCCUACGGGAGGCAGCAGUGGGGAAUAUUGGAACAUGGGCGAAAUCCUGAUCCAGCAAUGCCGCGUGAGUGAUGAAGGCCUUAGGGUUGUAAAGCUCUUUUACCCGGGAUGAUAAUGACAGUACCGAGAGAAUAAGCUCCGGCUAACUCCGUG